rnacentral:rRNA from 1 species
CGGCGUGGACUACCAGGGUAUCUAAUCCUGUUUGCUCCCCACGCUUUCGUGCCUCAGCGUCAGUAUCGGGCCAGUGAGCCGCCUUCGCCACUGGUGUUCUUGCGAAUAUCUACGAAUUUCACCUCUACACUCGCAGUUCCACUCACCUCUCCCGAACUCAAGAUCUUCAGUAUCAAAGGCAGUUCUGGAGUUGAGCUCCAGGAUUUCACCCCUGACUUAAAGACCCGCCUACGCACCCUUUACGCCCAGUGAUUCCGAGCAACGCUAGCCCCCUUCGUAUUACCGCGGCUGCUGGCACGAAGUUAGCCGGGGCUUAUUCUUGCGGUACCGUCAUUAUCUUCCCGCACAAAAGAGCUUUACAACCCUAGGGCCUUCAUCACUCACGCGGCAUGGCUGGAUCAGGCUUGCGCCCAUUGUCCAAUAUUCCCCACUGCUGCCUCCCGUAGGAGUUUGGGCCGUGUCUCAGUCCCAAUGUGGCUGAUCAUCCUCUCAGACCAGCUACUGAUCGUCGCCUUGGUGAGCCGUUACCUCACCAACUAGCUAAUCAGACGCGGGCCGAUCUUUCGGCGAUAAAUCUUUCCCCGUAAGGGCUUAUCCGGUAUUAGCACAAGUUUCCCUGUGUUGUUCCGAACCAAAAGGUACGUUCCCACGCGUUACUCACCCGUCUGCCGCUGACGUAUUGCUACGCCCGCUCGACUUGCAUGUGUUAAGCCUGCCGCCAGCGUUCGCUCUGAGCCAGGAUCAAACUC